rnacentral:rRNA from 1 species
CAAUCUUUGAACGCAAAUUGCGCUCUUGGGUAGCCCUAGGAGCANGCCUCUCUCAGUAUCGGUUCAACCUCUCUCAGCAGCGUGGGCAUUCACCCGCUCACGCGUUGGCUGGAACAUGAGAGUCUUCGCCGCUUGUGCGGCAGUCUCUUGAAAUGCAUGGAGUGAUGCGCGAGUCCCCCUGUCCGUUCAAGCCUCGUUUGCUUGAUCUAGUGGAUGGCGACUGUCGCGCUCGAGUGACGUGAAUACUGACCGCUUGGUCUCCUUUUUUACGUGUGUCUCGAGCCGAUGCCUCAAAGUCGCCGCCUGCGAACGCGGGGGGUCAAGCCUCAUGUGCCGUGGCGUCAGGCCACAAGCGGCACUCGUUUCGACGCGUGUCUGAAAUUUGAUCUGAGAUGAAGCGAGACAACCCCCUGAAUUUAAGCAUAUUAAUAAGGGGAGGAAAAGAAACUAACAAGGAUUCCCCCAGUAACGGCGAGUGAAGCGGGAAGAGCUCAAUUUGAAAAUCGAUUUCCUAAGCGGGACAUCGAGUUGUAGCCUAGAGACGUACUAUCAGCUGAAACCUGGGUAUAAGUUCUUUGGAAUGAGACACUAGAAAGGGUGAGAGUCCCGUAUAGGAUCCAAAGCUUUCAGCGUACGAUGUAUGUUCCUCGAGUCGAGUUGUUUGGGAUUGCAGCUCUAAAUGGGUGGUAAGUUUCAUCUAAAGCUAAAUAAUGGCGAGAGAC